CGGAGGAUCCAAGCGUUAUCCGGAUUCAUUGGGUUUAAAGGGUGCGUAGGCGGAAUGAUAAGUCAGUGGUGAAAGCCUGCAGCUUAACUGCAGAACUGCCAUUGAUACUGUCAAUCUUGAGUACAUUUGAUGUGGGCGGAAUGUGUCAUGUAGCGGUGAAAUGCUUAGAUAUGACACAGAACACCGAUUGCGAAGGCAGCUCACAAAACUGUAACUGACGCUGAGGCACGAAAGCGUGGGUAUCAAACAGGAUUAGAUACCCUGGUAGUCCACGCUGUAAACUAUGAUUACUCGAUGUUUGCGAUACACUGUAAGCGUCUAAGCGAAAGCGAUAAGUAAUCCACCGUGGGGAGUACGCUCGCAAGAGUG
rnacentral:rRNA from 1 species